rnacentral:tRNA from 1 species
GCCAGCAUGGUGUAGUGGUUUGAGCACUGGACUAUGACUCUAGAGAACAGGGUUCAAAUCCCUGCUUGGCC